AGGAUAAUAGUUAACUAUAACAUUUAACUUGCACUUAAAAAGUAUUGAUCAAUAAUCAAUUUAUCUUA
rnacentral:tRNA from 1 species